rnacentral:rRNA from 1 species
GCAUAUUUGAUGUAAAUCAGUGUGGAGCAACCCAUAGUGCAGAUCUUGGUGGUAGUAGCAAAUAUUCAUAUGAAACCUAUGAAGACUGAAGUGGAGAAAAGGUUUCGUGAGAAGAGCAUUUCAACACGAAUGAGUCGGUCCUAAGGUUUAAACGAAAGUUGAUAUUGAAUGAUAAAGUGAAGGUGGUGGUUAUUAAUAUAGUUUAUGCUUAGUUGUUGUAUUAUAUAUAUAACCAUUAAACCACGUACACUCGCAACCGAAAGGGGAAUUAGGUUAAAAUUCCUAAACCAUAUGUUGAAUAAGAAGAGUGUUAAUGUAUUGUUAAAUGUUGUUGAUUGUGAUUAGUCAUGAAUUAUGAAUAAUUAACAAACAUAACAUUACACAAACUUACACUCUCUAUCGGCAACGUCAUUUGAACUUGAUAACAUUGGUUGAUACCCAAGCAAGAGUUCUCUUUUUCUUGUUGACAAUUUAAAAUAACGAUAAAAAUA